GGGCCCGCACAAGCGGUGGAGCAUGUGGUUUAAUUCGAUGAUACGCGAGGAACCUUACCAGGGCUUAAAUGUAGUUUGACCGGUCUGGAAACAGACUUUCUCUUCGGAGCAGAUUACAAGGUGCUGCAUGGUUGUCGUCAGCUCGUGCCGUGAGGUGUCAGGUUAAGUCCUAUAACGAGCGCAACCCCUACCGUUAGUUGCCAGCGUGUAAUGACGGGGACUCUAACGGAACUGCCGGUGCAAACCGUGAGGAAGGUGGGGACGACGUCAAAUCAUCACGGCCCUUACGUCCUGGGCUGCACGCAUGCUACAAUGGCAAGUACAACGAGUCGCAAUACCGCGAGGUGGAGCAAAUCUCUUAAAGCUUGUCUCAGUUCGGAUAGGAGUCUGCAACUCGACUCCUUG
rnacentral:rRNA from 1 species